GACGAACCGUGCGACCGUUGUUCGGAUUCACUGGGCUUAAAGGGCGCGUAGGCGGUCGGCCAAGUCUGGGGUGAAAUCUUUCGGCUCAACCGGAAAAGUGCCCCCGAUACAGGCCGUCUAGAGGGAGGUAAGGGCAUGUGGAACUUCCGGUGGAGCGGUGAAAUGCGUAGAUAUCGGAAGGAACGCCGGUGGCGAAAGCGACGUGCUGGACCUCAUCUGACGCUGAGGCGCGAAAGCCAGGGGAGCAAACGGG
rnacentral:rRNA from 1 species